rnacentral:tRNA from 2 species
GGGUAGUUAGCUCAGUUGGUAGAGCAUCGCCUUUACACGGCGAGGGUCGGGGGUUCGAGCCCCUCACUACCCACCA